UCCCUGAUAGCUCAGUUGGUAAAGAAUCUGCCUGCAGUGCAGGAGACCUGGGUUUGAUCCCUGGGUUGGGAA
rfam:TPA: Bos taurus chromosome 29, whole genome shotgun sequence.